rnacentral:rRNA from 1 species
UACACACGUGCUACAAUGGGCGGUACAAAGGGUCGCGAACCCGCGAGGGGGAGCCGAAUCCCAAAAAAGCCCGCUACUCAGUUCGGAUUGCAGGCUGCAACUCGCCUGCAUGAAGCCGGAAUCGCUAGUAAUCGCGGAUCAGCAUGCCGCGGUGAAUACGUUCCCGGGCCUU